rnacentral:rRNA from 1 species
CAGCAGUCGCCGCGGUAAUACGAGGGGUGCAAGUGUUAUUCGGAUUGAUUGGGUGUAAAGGGUGUGCAGACGGCUUAUUAAGUCACUUGUUAAAUUCUUCGGCCUAACUGAAGGUCUGCAAGUGAUACUGAUGAGCUAGAGGGUGGAAGAGAGAAGUGGAAUUCUCGGAGUAGCGGUAAAAUGCGUAGAUCUCGAGAGGAACACCGAUGGCGAAGGCAGCUUCUUGGUCCAUUCCUGACGUUCAUACACGAAAGCGUGGGGAGUAAACAGGAUUAGAUACCCGCGUAGUCCCUGUCUCUUAUAC